rnacentral:rRNA from 1 species
AGAGUUUGAUCCUGGCUCAGAUUGAACGCUGGCGGCAUGCUUUACACAUGCAAGUCGAACGGUAACAGGCGCAAGGUGCUGACGAGUGGCGAACGGGUGAGUAAUGCAUCGGAACGUGCCCAGUCGUGGGGGAUAACGCAGCGAAAGCUGCGCUAAUACCGCAUACGAUCUAUGGAUGAAAGCGGGGGACCGUAAGGGCCUCGCGCGAUUGGAGCGGCCGAUGUCAGAUUAGGUAGUUGGUGGGGUAAAGGCUCACCAAGCCAACGAUCUGUAGCUGGUCUGAGAGGACGACCAGCCACACUGGGACUGAGACACGGCCCAGACUCCUACGGGAGGCAGCAGUGGGGAAUUUUGGACAAUGGGCGCAAGCCUGAUCCAGCAAUGCCGCGUGCAGGAAGAAGGCCUUCGGGUUGUAAACUGCUUUUGUACGGAACGAAAAGGCUCUGGUUAAUACCUGGGGCACAUGACGGUACCGUAAGAAUAAGCACCGGCUAACUACGUG